CUUCAAGCUGCCUUGACCUCUCCAGCAUGAUGGACUGCACUUUGAGUUAGCUAGACAAGGAACGCAGCGCUCAGUCAGCACCCUUCCCUGCUCACAACAGCUGGGCGUUCUGUGGGUCUGAGCAUACGCACCACCAACCGCCGUCUCAGCCUCGAUGACACCACCGUCUGAAUCUGCCGAGUUUCAUCAGAUCUAGCUCAUUCUUGUAGCUUCAGCGCUGGCCUUGAUCCACGCACGCCCUCACCGUCGUCUGCUGCCACAUAGGGAAGGGGUUCCAUCUGCGGUCACCCGGCCCUAUGCACUUGAGCAGAACAGCAAGGCUGUGGUGUGGUGAGGGGUUUCUUGGCCUUGUGAUGGACGGGAAGCAGAGUGGAGCCCCAACGGGAAGGGCAAGAUGCAGCCCCCAGACUCCCCCAUGACCCACUUCCUCCCGCCAGACCCCACCUCCCCGAGUCCCACCACUCGUUGCAUAUGACUGUGACUGUCCUCCGACAGACAGAUGCCAUCUUCCCAAGACUGGUUGUACCUGCCUAAGAUAGUCACAGCUGAGCUUGUCAACCGUUCACCACCCAGCAAGGAAGGGAAGGGUAAAGGAGAGUCACUGGACCCUUGAUUCCACACCUCCCAACCAACCAGCCGGCCCUACAUGUGGUGUGGCAUGACGUGGGGAAGGAGCCAAGGGUAUAUAAGCUGGGGAGGCCUAGGGAGAGGGUCUUGCCAUUUUAUGCAGCUGUGAGGACGCCACCAUUCGAGCUUGGAUUAAGACUUUCCAGUGCAUCCUUGGGGUGGAGAGACCCACACUCCUGCAGGUCAGC